rnacentral:lncRNA from 1 species
CGCCAAUUCUAUUGGUGCAGAAUUCUACUGAUGCCGAAGAAGCUGGAGUCGAGGGGAUCACGGCUGCCGUCAGGACCUGCAAGGAAAGUCUAAACCGGAGUUGGGGGUGCUCUGGUAAGAUCCUCCGAUACUCAAGUUAGUACUAUGCUUCAACAGAAAUGGAGCACUCGAAUGGGAUUUUAGCAGAGUUUAGAGAUAAUGCUUAGAGCUUAGAGGAGAACGUAUUUGGGGGG